UACGGGGGGGGCAAGCGUUGUUCGGAAUUACUGGGCGUAAAGGGCUCGUAGGUGGCCAACUAAGUCAGACGUGAAAUCCCUCGGCUUAACCGGGGAACUGCGUCUGAUACUGGAUGGCUUGAGAUUGGGAGAGGGAUGCGGAAUUCCAGGUGUAGCGGUGAAAUUCGUAGAUAUUCGCAAGAACACCAGUGGCGAAGGCGGCUCACUGGCCCGGUACUGACGCUGAGGUGCGAAAGCGUGGGGAGCAAACAGG
rnacentral:rRNA from 1 species